AUGUGCCAUUUGGAGUGCUCUAUCAAAGAGUUGUGGGUUAACUCGUCUGACAAGAGAAUUCCAAAUAUGAAAGCCAUGGCUUUACCAACUGCGCUCAUUAGUUGGAUUAUUUUGAAUGAGAGGAACGUGCGUGUUUUCCACCACAGGUCCAGACCACCGCCAAUCCUGUUGGUUUUUGAUCUUGGUAGAUCAAAUUCCCCGGAGAGGUGCAGCAACACACGUACGUGUAAGCUAGCUCAAAGAAGCAACCAAGCUAGUAGCUUAAUUGAUCUACAGGGAACUAGUUGUAGCCUCUCGUUGCGUGGAGCAGCUCUAGCUGGAUCGGAUCGAUCUACUCUCUUCGGAACACUUGCGGCGACUUCCGUAACUUGCGAACGAUAA
rnacentral:rRNA from 1 species